rnacentral:rRNA from 1 species
UACGUAGGGGGCAAGCGUUGUCCGGAAUCAUUGGGCGUAAAGAGCGUGUAGGCGGCUUGGUAAGUCCGCUGUGAAAGUCCAGGGCUCAACCCUGGAAUGCCGGUGGAAACUGUCAAGCUUGAGUCCGGAAGAGGCGAGUGGAAUUCCUGGUGUAGCGGUGAAAUGCGCAGAUAUCAGGAGGAACACCGAUGGCGAAGGCAGGUCUCUGGGCCACUACUGACGCUGAGAAGCGAAAGCAUGGGGAGCAAACAGG